AGUGAACGCUGGCGGUAGGCCUAACACAUGCAAGUCGAACGGCAGCACAGGAGAGCUUGCUCUCUGGGUGGCGAGUGGCGGACGGGUGAGGAAUACAUCGGAAUCUACUCUGUCGUGGGGGAUAACGUAGGGAAACUUACGCUAAUACCGCAUACGACCUACGGGUGAAAGCAGGGGACCUUCGGGCCUUGCGCGAUUGAAUGAGCCGAUGUCGGAUUAGCUAGUUGGCGGGGUAAAGGCCCACCAAGGCGACGAUCCGUAGCUGGUCUGAGAGGAUGAGCGGCCACACUGGAACUGAGACACGGUCCAGACUCCUACGGGAGGCAGCAGUGGGGAAUAUUGGACAAUGGGCGCAUGCCUGAUCCAGCCAUACCGCGUGGGUGAAGAAGGCCUUCGGGUUGUAAAGCCCUUUUGUUGGGAAAGAAAUCCAGCUGGCUAAUACCCGGUUGGGAUGACGGUACCCAAAGAAUAAGCACCGGCUAACUUCGUGCCAGCCGCCGCAGUAA
rnacentral:rRNA from 1 species